rnacentral:rRNA from 1 species
GAUGAACGCUGGCGGCGUGCCUAAUACAUGCAAGUCGAGCGAACAGAUGAGGAGCUUGCUCCUCUGACGUUAGCGGCGGACGGGUGAGUAACACGUGGAUAACCUACCUAUAAGACUGGGAUAACUUCGGGAAACCGGAGCUAAUACCGGAUAAUAUAUUGAACCGCAUGGUUCAAUAGUGAAAGACGGUUUUGCUGUCACUUAUAGAUGGAUCCGCGCCGCAUUAGCUAGUUGGUAAGGUAACGGCUUACCAAGGCAACGAUGCGUAGCCGACCUGAGAGGGUGAUCGGCCACACUGGAACUGAGACACGGUCCAGACUCCUACGGGAGGCAGCAGUAGGGAACCUUCCGCAAUGGGCGAAAGCCUGACGGAGCAACGCCGCGUGAGUGAUGAAGGUCUUCGGUUCGUAAAACUCUGUUAUUAGGGAAGAACAAAUGUGUAAGUAACUAUGCACGUCUUGACGGUACCUAAUCAGAAAGCCACGGCUAACUACGUG